AAUGCAAGAUCUUCGCGUGAGAUCGCACCCCUCCCACCACGCCCUAACGAAAACACCACCGCCCCACCCUAUUCAAUAGUGACCACCUCUCCAACGAGAUCCACGCAGCCGCCUCCGCGAUCCUCCGAUACUUCCCCGCCCUCUUCAGAAGCCGCGCCAUGGAUCGGCAUGGAUCCUCGUUAGAUGAGAUCCUGCCAUACCGAUGCUUGUCCAAUGACCUCAUCUAACAAGGUGUCUCAUGAGAAACGACGUCCCGGCGCCCUCCUUCUCCCUCCAGCCAUCUCCUCCACGGCAAGCGACGCCGGCUGCCUCAUCACGUCCCUGGCACGAGCAGUGAAGCUAGCCGCAAGGUCAGGAUCGUCUUCGAGGCUAGGGAGCCUAGCCUCGCCUCGCCUCACAACCUCCUUCCUCUUUUCAUCCUAACCAUCCCCUCUCGAUCCCAAUUGUUGUGGAGCAGCCCGGUGGAUUUGGAGUCAACUAAGGUCCAGCAGGUGAACAACGUUUGGAGAAAUUCAGACUGGCAGUGUGUCAUGCAAGGUGAUUUUGAAUGAAGUUGUGAAGAAUUUGGAAGGGCGCCUACUAUAUAUCAGACCAAACACAGGAAUAGCGGUCAUUAUUGCUAUCUGAAUGCAUUCAUCCCUGGUACGGUGGUGCUGGACAACCUGAAACAGGGGAGCUACAGCGAUGGCCCUUUUAGUUCUGCUAAUAAGACAAUGAGGAGGCAGCGGAGAGGUUGAUUGGUUCUCUCUGUAGAAAGCAUAUUUUCAAAGUUAAUGAUUUGAACUGGAUGGAUUGGAAGCUGUUGUGUUCGUGAAAGGUAUAAUUGUUGAAGUGAACUAUGUCAUGUGAAGCAGGAUAAUGGAACUCUUGGAGAAAAGAUUCAGCUGCUAGAGGGCGUAGCACCCUGGAUGAUAAUUGACUCUGUAUGAUCUGACCUCUGUUGCUUGGCCUUCUGCUUUUCAUGCAUAUAGCUCAGAAGGCGCUGAUACAUGUGUGCGCAGAGCAAAAUGCAACAUGCUGCUGUUUAAAGGGAUCGAUAUGUUUGAUCAGGCUGUUUGUAGGAAUCAUUGUUAGCACGAAGCUGAAAUACUCGAAUGGCUGUAAGGCUCCAUAGCAAGAGAAGGUUGAGGUUAUGUCUGUAUGUAUAUGUUAUGUUCUGUGAAUGUGUAUAAUCUGCAAGUGCCUCUUUGCACGGUCUAGCAUCUAGAGCAGUAAAUGGUUUCGGCAAGGAUACUUGAUCAAGCAAGUUAUGUGGGUUUAGCUGCUCAAAGUUGCUGCUUAUGUACGCACAGGUUGGUUAUGAGCCAAACAUGCCCCUGAACUGAUCUUGGAGGUUGGAGUUUUUGUUGGUGAUUUUGACACUGCUACAUCUCGCACAAAAGAUGUAUUAAAACAGUUCGUUAUCAUACAAUCUUGAAACAUAGUGAUCCUCCCUCCCACUGAUCUUCAAGGAUCUCUAUGUUGUCCAGAA